CUUUAUUGAGGGACAGAGAGUGAAACAAUAGGAUGUAGUAUUCUGCUUGGGGUGAGAAACAAAGUCAACACAAAGGCUGCAGAAGAAGAGAGGGUGUGUUCACACCGGUGUACAUCCCAAUCCUGUGAAGGACCCUACAACCCGCACACACACACACGGGAAAGCGAAGAUCUUACCUGGUCCGACAUCGUUCUUCAGUUCAUCUGCUCUCAGUGAGACAUUCCGCCGUCCAUGUCAUGUCACUGAGCGUCAAACACUGCACAAGCGUCGGUGGGGAUUGUUACAUUACACACUCGACUCAUAUGCCAUCACAUGGCUGUAGUCAAAAAAAAAAGAAGCCCAAUGUGACUCUAAAAAAUGUCCUUUUUCUCACGCUGACUUAACAGUAGAUAUUUAAUCUCUUCUCUGCGAACGCCUGCGCUGUGUGACUCACGUUUUACUGUACACCUGUGAGUCCCUUUAAGUCUCUAUAAUAGUGGCUUUUCAUUUGAGAGCGUGUAGCCCCGCCCCCGCACCGUAGACACGCCUCUUCAUUCCAGCUGUUACCUGAGUGCUAACAAUCUCUCUGGAUCUCUCUCUCAGUCUCAGAUCCACGUAACUCUAUUUUUAUUUCUAGUUUUAUAUUCUAUUUAUCGAUAUGGUUAAUGUUCAUAUUAUAUGUAUUUUUAUUUUUAAUAAUUCUAAUGCUGCUCUGGAGAUUCCAUUUAUUGGAACCCUGGAUUGGGUUUGGUUUUAACCAAUUUGAUUAUUUUUACAAUUUUGCAUAAAACAUUUUAUGAUUGGGGUUGGUUAACCAUUAUUUAAUUUUGUUUUAAAUGCAUAUAUAUAUGUGUGUGUGUGUGUGUGUGUGUGUGUGUGUGUGUGUUUAUGUUUUAUUCUUCCUUAAAAAAAAUAACAUGACAUAUUCCAGAAGUUGUGUAUUUGUUGCUGCACCACCUCUUUUGUGAGCUCCAGAUCAUCUACAAACAAGAGCCAUUUGACUUCAGUGUCUAGUAGAUUAAAACCAAGAGCUGCA